rnacentral:lncRNA from 1 species
GUACAGUUGAGGCCAGCUCCACUUUCUGGGGGUGGGGGUGAUGGUAGUUGGUGGUUAUCUGUUUAAGACCAAUUCUCGUCACGAAACAAACAUAACUAGCAGCAUUUGUAUAUUGCUUGAGCUAAUGGAAUCUGUCUUCCUUCUGUUUUCUCUAGCUUAGUUAGCAACCUCUUUAGGCGCCACACUCUAAACAGACAGGCGGAACCCCCCACCCCACCCCCGGCCCCCGGUUUUUGGCAAGUUCUGUAUUUUGGCCAAGAAUUCUAGGCAUAUCCACCAGGCUGUAGUUAUACCCCUAUCUUCCACCGUCUUUUUCUUUUUCUUCUUCUUCUUCUUCUUUUUUUUUUUUUUAAACUGAAGUCUAGUUAGAACCUCAGCAUACUGAAAAAUAACACUUCCUUCUCUCUUUUGUUUUGGAAAAACUAAACUCCAUAGGAAUCAAAAAUUCAAAGGCUUCAGAAAUAUUAGCUGAUUCAGCAGAAAAUGAUCCCUUCGAAAAUGCAAAGGCUCAACCUUUACUUGGCCUUUUUUUUUUUUUUUAAAUCAAUUCCUGUCUCCCCUCCUCCUAAUCGGAACCCCCUUUUAUGGCUGGUUGAAUGUAGAGGGUCACCUGUCUCUUUUGGUGGUACCUUGUUCAUAGAGGGUCAUUGUCCAGAAAGUUCGACUUCGCAGCAACAACAGAUGAAAGCUUUGAUGAUGUGGAAUGUGGAAUUUUUCGGAAAACGAUCCUGUCAGAAGGAGCUACUCACUGCUGUGUCUGCUGUAACAAGGCUAAGUGGGAUGGAAGGAGAUAACCGAGACAAAUGUGUGCCACUGGCCAGGAAUCAGGGUGCCUGCCUCUGUGGAGUCGGCAUGCUUCCUGGGACAGCUGCCAAGGCAGGAAGAAUGGCAGGACUCCCCCUGUGCACCUCUGCCCUUGGAAAAGAAAGUCUGCCCCAAAGGCCUUUGACCACCUUCCUCUUAGGUUGCACUGGUCUGAACCAGCUGUAGGCUGUGGUGGGCGGCUGGUGACAGGUGGGCUCUUGUGGCAAGGAAGCCAAGGAGGGGAAAGUGACUAUUGAGCAGACGACAGUCAGCCACACGUUGCUCUUUGAAACGAACUUUCAAGCAAUAUCAUUGAGCCAACAUGCCUAGUCUUCCAAAGUGUUUUGUCCAGGGCUGUGAAUUAAGUAUGAUCUAGAUCCAAGAAAACCUUGAUAUCUACAUUUUUUUCCUUUUGAAGAUCACACAAUACAGUUCUCUGACAGUUGGCGUGAAAUAAAUGUCGAAUGGUUUACUACUUGUUUUAUUUAUAAUAUUAUAAACUGCGUAGUGUUUAGUUCCUUACUUCCUUUUUAUUAAGCCCCUCCCCUCGUUUUGGGAGACUUCCUUAAAAAUAUUGACACAGGGGCCCCCCUGUGGCCAAGUGGUUAAGUUCACAUGCUCCGGUUCAGCGGCCCAGGGUUUCGUUCGUUCGGAUCCUGCGCACGCAUGUGGCACCGUCAUGAAGCCACACUCUGGUGGCGUCCCACACAGCACAGCCAGAAGGACC